rnacentral:rRNA from 1 species
UACGUAGGUGGCAAGCGUUGUCCGGAAUUAUUGGGCGUAAAGCGCUCGCAGGCGGUCUUUUUAAGUCUGAUGUGAAAUCUCGUGGCUUAACCACGAACGGUCAUUGGAAACUGGAGGACUUGAGUACAGAAGAGGAGAGUGGAAUUCCACGUGUAGCGGUGAAAUGCGUAGAGAUGUGGAGGAACACCAGUGGCGAAGGCGACUCUCUGGUCUGUAACUGACGCUGAGGAGCGAAAGCGUGGGGAGCGAACAGG